rnacentral:rRNA from 1 species
UACAGGGGGUGCAAACGUUGCUCGGAAUCAUUGGGCGUAAAGCGCACGUAGGCGGUCUGUUAUGUCGGAUGUGAAAGCCCUUGGCUCAACUGAGGAAGUGCAUCCGAAACUGGCAGGCUAGAGUACUAAAGAGGAUCGCGGAAUUCCUGGUGUAGCGGUGAAAUGCGCAGAUAUCAGGAAGAACACCCGUGGCUAAGGCGGCUCUCUAGUACGGUACUGACGCUGGACGCGAAAGCGUGGGGAGCGAACAGG